GGGGAUUUAGCUCAGUGGUAGAGCGUUUGCCUAGCAAGCAUAAGGCCCUGGGUUCCGUCCCCAGCUCCA
rnacentral:tRNA from 1 species